rnacentral:rRNA from 1 species
CCUACGGGAGGCAGCAGUGAGGAAUAUUGGUCAAUGGGCGCUAGCCUGAACCAGCCAAGUAGCGUGAAGGAUGACUGCCCUAUGGGUUGUAAACUUCUUUUAUAUGGGAAUAAAGUGCAGUAUGUAUACUGCUUUGCAUGUACCUUAUGAAUAAGGAUCGGCUAACUCCGUGCCAGCAGCCGCGGUAAUACGGAGUAUCCGAGCGUUAUCCGGAUUUAUGGGGGUUAACGGGCGCGUAGGCGGGUUGUGAAGUCAGUUGUGAAAGGUUGCGGCUCAACCGUAAAAUUGCAGUUGAUACUGGCAGCCUUGAGUACAGGAGAGGUAGGCGGAAUUCGUGGUGUAGCGGUGAAAUGCUUAGAUAUCACGAAGAACUCCGAUGGCGAAGGCAGCCUGCUGGACUGUAACUGACGCUGAUGCUCGAAAGUGUGGGUAGCAAACAGGAUUAGAUACCCCAGUAGUC